rnacentral:rRNA from 1 species
AGCAUAUCAAUAAGCGGAGGAAAAGAAACCAACAGGGAUUGCCUUAGUAACGGCGAGUGAAGCGGCAAUAGCUCAAAUUUGAAAUCUGGCUCCUUCGGGGUCCGAGUUGUAAUUUGUAGAGGAUGCUUCGGCGUCGGCACCGGUCUAAGUUCCUUGGAACAGGACGUCAUAGAGGGUGAGAAUCCCGUAUGCGACCGGCUGCCUUCUCCAUGUGAAGCUCCUUCGACGAGUCGAGUUGUUUGGGAAUGCAGCUCUAAAUGGGAGGUAAAUUUCUUCUAAAGCUAAAUACCGGCCAGAGACCGAUAGCGCACAAGUAGAGUGAUCGAAAGAUGAAAAGCACUUUGGAAAGAGAGUUAAAAAGCACGUGAAAUUGUUGAAAGGGAAGCGCUUGCAACCAGACUUGCCCGCGGUUGCUCAACCUGCCUUUGGCUGGUGCACUCUUCUGCGGUCAGGCCAGCAUCGGUUCGGGCGGUCGGAUAAAGGUUCCGGGAAUGUAGCUCCUCUCGGGGAGUGUUAUAGCCCGGUUCGUAAUGCGACCUGCCUGGACCGAGGCCCGCGCUUCGGCUAGGAUGCUGGCGUAAUGGUUGCAAGCGGCCCGUCUUGAAACACGGACCAAGGAGUCUAACAUCUAUGCGAGUGUUUGGGUGUUAAACCCAUACGCGUAAUGAAAGUGAACGGAGGUGGGAACCUUAGGGUGCACCAUCGACCGAUCCUGAUGUCUUCGGAAGGAUUUGAGUAAGAGCAUAGCUGUUGGGACCCGAAAGAUGGUGAACUAUGCCUGAAUAGGGUGAAGCCAGAGGAAACUCUGGUGGAGGCUCGCAGCGGUUCUGACGUGCAAAUCGAUCGUCAAAUUUGGGUAUAGGGGCGAAAGACUAAUCGAACCAUCUAGUAGCUGG